UAAAUUUUGCUUAAAACAAUUCAAACCAAAUACAGAUCUUUGUUUCGACUCACCAACAUAUGCGCUGCAAAACGAAACAUGAACAGCAAUUGCACCACCGGACCUAAGAAAAAGAUGGGCACCAGAUGUAGGCUCAGCGAUAAGCCACUCAGCAUCAACCACUUCCACAUGGAGUAGAUGAAGCAUAUACACAUCGCUAGAUUCGACAAUAUGACCAGACUGCUAACAUAUACCAGCUUGCAGCGCUAAGAGUUAGAGAAGAACUUUAUUCAAAUAGAUUUACAAACACAAUAAGGAAGAGUCAAGAGUGCCUGACUAGGCGCCCAUUACGCUCGUUGAAUGCAUAACGAUUCUGCUUAAUGUAUACUUAAUAACUAUUCAAAUAUUUGCCAUACAGAGAAGAGCUCUGCUGGCCUUUAAGGCGGGCGAGACUUCCUUUCAUUGAGCGACAAGCAAGAGAACUUUCAGCUGAUGCAAGCAUUCUAACUGACAUUCAUAUGAAUAGUAAAACUCUUAUGAACCUAAAGCGCUGCUGAAUUAACAAGAAAUGCACCUUCAUUCUGCAAUUAGACAAAUGAAAACAAUUCAAUAUAUUUCUUUUUAGACCUUCGGAAACUGGGCCUUUAGUCGCAAAAGUGUGCACUUCCGAAAUGGUUGUAACUGUACAGCAGCAAUCGGCAGGCCUUUUAUACCCAGCGAUAAACCAACGCAAGUUCUCUGAUAUGUAUAUACUUUAUGCUGAAAUAAAAAAUAAAAAUUCUAAUCAAUUACAAGAAUAUACAGAGGGCCUUAUC